rnacentral:rRNA from 1 species
CCUACGGGAGGCAGCAGUGAGGAAUAUUGGUCAAUGGACGGAAGUCUGAACCAGCCAUGCCGCGUGCAGGAAGACGGCUCUAUGAGUUGUAAACUGCUUUUGUACAAGGGUAAACCUGAAUACGUGUAUUCAGCUGAAAGUACCUUACGAAUAAGGAUCGGCUAACUCCGUGCCAGCAGCCGCGGUAAUACGGAGGAUCCAAGCGUUAUCCGGAUUUAUUGGGUUUAAAGGGUGCGUAGGCGGAUUGAUAAGUUAGAGGUGAAAUGUCCGAGCUUAACUCGGGAACUGCCUCUAAUACUGUUGAUCUCGAGAGUAGGUGAGGUAGGCGGAAUGUGUGGUGUAGCGGUGAAAUGCUUAGAGAUCGUGCAGAACACCGAUUGCGAAGGCAGCUUACCAAUCUAUAUCUGACGUUGAGGCACGAAAGCGUGGGUAGCAAACAGGAUUAGAUACCCUUGUAGUC